rnacentral:lncRNA from 1 species
GUGUUAACUUAGUAAUGUGACAAAGGAAGUAUAAUAUGGGUGGAAAUUAAGGAAAUCUUGUUAUCAUAUUUCUUCUUAUUAAAGUCAUUUAUUUGUCAUUGAUUUUCUUCUAAAAUUUCUCAACAUAAAGUCACUGUUUAUGUUAUACUUCUCUUUUCAGCAUGUUCCAGUGCUUAGUGCAAAAACUAAGGAUUAAUCCUGCACUAUUCCAAUAAAAUGUUUUGAUUCUGAAAGCAAAGAAUGGCACUUUGCCAGCCAUUCAAGUACUGCAUCAAAUGGACCCAAUUUGAACAACUGACAAUUCAAAACAACUGGGUAAAAUAAUCCUGAAAGAAAACCACCACACAUAGGAAAAAUGAUCAUUUACUUUUUCAAGGUCUAUUUUUGCAGUACAACA